UUUUAGGACCUCCCUCUCCCCCCAACAGUUUUCAAAGAAACAUUCUAAAACCAAUAGCAAUCCAUGAUCAAUGAGAAUUCCUUUCACCCAGAUUAUAGUCUCCAAUUCCUUUUCCAGAGAGCAAACAUAACUUCUUGGAAAUUUGGGACCACGCUGAGAGGAAUCAAGCAUUGGUGCAGAGAGGUUCUGGCCACUGAACCAAGGGAAUCACUUGAAGAGAGGCAGGCUCUGAGAUUCCUUGGUGUGAAAUCUGGCCAUGGGAGGAAAUGGCAGAGUGACCCCUUCAUCAUCCUGAAGUGCUGGUUUUAGAUCUCUGCUGAGACUGAGCAAAUUGUCCAUCACCAAGUUUUCCUGAAUUUUCUUCCUCUAAGAAACACUCUGGCCAGAUGUAAAGCCUUCUGUCAGUCUCCAUCAAGGUAA
rnacentral:lncRNA from 1 species